rnacentral:sRNA from 1 species
UUCGUCUGUACAUAAAGAGGAUGAGAACCUCCGAAGGAGGUUUGAGCCGAGCGCAGCGAGACAACGUUGCUUCAGCAACGGCCC